GAUGAACGCUGACAGAAUGCUUAACACAUGCAAGUCGACUUGGUGGCGGGCGGGUGGGUAACUCGUAAAGGACUUGCCUCACAGCUAGGGUCAACAUUUGCUAACGAAUGCUAAUACCUACUACUGUGAGAGAGCUUUGCGUCCCAUGAGCUAGUUGGAGAGGUAGCGGCUCACCAAGGCGAUGAUGGGUAGCCGGCCUGAGAGGGUGAUCGGCCACAAGGGGCCAGAGACCCGGCCCUGACGGCUACGGGAGGCAGCGGUGGAUGAGCUUGGACAAGAGGCAAAGGUCUGAGUGAGGAAUUAUGUGUGUACGAUGAAGUUUUUCGGAAUGUAAAGUGCUAUGAGCUGUGACGGUACGAGCAGAAGAAGUGACGGCUAAAUACGUGCCAGCAGCCGCGGUAAUAC
rnacentral:rRNA from 1 species